AGUCUUGUUUGCGCUCCGGUGACGCGCAGCUUACCUCGAGAGAUGUAACUUACUCCAGAGACGCACUAACUUGCACAGCAUUGAAUGGAAAGGCUUUGUCCAAGAAGUUGAGGGGCAUCAAGAAGACGCAGAUGGCCUAAACCUGUGUCAGCCUGGACAGACUGCAGUUCUGCUACUCCACGCCAAGGCUUUUGUAUGGAUGUCUUGACUACUACUGUGUUCUGAGAAGUUUUCUGGAAGCUCCAUUUGAGGUCAUCAAGGACAUACUGAUGGCCUAAACCAGUGUCAGCCUAGACAGACAGACAGACAUCUAUUGCAGUUCUGCUACACAAGACCAAACUCUCUGCUUUUGUAUGGAUGUCUGACUAGUACAGUGUUCUCUAAAGGUAUAACUGGAGCAAAACAACAGCAUCCGUUACAGUGAAAUUUGUGUUCAUAAAAGAUAUGUGUAACAGGUCCAGUACAUUUGUCAUAAAGGUUAAAUCACAGUAAGUACUGUAAAAAUAACUUGUUUGCCUUUGCCACAACAGGUCAUGGUGUGUGCAUACUGCUCGUAGUAAACACACAUGCUGAUCUGAUGCGGGAGAGAUAUACGCAAACACAUUUGUAUUUACUGUUUUGUUUUGCCUCACUAAAGUGUUGUUGGAGCUUGGUAUGUUCACAGUUGAAAUCACUGAGGUCACAUGGAACGUUUUGACAAUGUGUUUUGUGCCUUAUCUUGACAAUGACCAUCUUGGGACUAUUGCUGUCUGUAGAGGAUGAGGAGCAUUUAAUCUCAAAUAUUUUAGUUUGUGUUCUGAAGAUUAACAGGUCUCUGGGAUGACACAAGUACUUAAUAACAUAACCUAUAUGAACAGUUAAUGUGACGUAGUGAAAUAGUGGUCCUACAUUCACAAAUGUGAGCCAUUAUUAUAAGACCCAUGUGAACAUGCAAUUUUUAUGAUACUAAUAAUAAUGGAAUAACAAAUUGCUUUUACUGUUGUGUUUGUGAGAGAGAAUCAAACCAUAUAUUCUACACAUUUUCUUGAUGAUUUACUGAAAUAUUUGUCUACAUGUUCCACUGUCACAGGUGCUCAGUUUUGCUGCAGUAAUGCUAAACACAAUAGAUGUACUUUAUGCAAAAAAAAAAAACAACAAAAAAAAAAAAAAACUACUAAAUAUUUAGCAUGCAGACCUGCAAAGUGAAGGAGUUAUGUCAGGUUUAGAUUAUAGCAUGAGUUUUCACUAUUGUGAAAGUGAAGCCAUUCAUUCACAAUGAAUUGGAAUAGCAAACCUCAUUAUUGAUUUUGUAGGAAACUCACCUGGUGUUUGAGAAAUAAAUAUGUAUUUAACUGCUAGACUGAUAUAGAUGUUUAAGUGUUUUACACUUGAUACUUUGUCCCAGUGCCAUCUUUUACCUCAAGUUUUUCUCUCAACCUAUAAAACCUCAAACAGAUGUAAUGUAUUUCACUUGUGAUUCUUAGUUGUGAGUGAUGUUUUUUAUUAUUUUUUUUUUUUUUACUGCAGCCACUUUAAAAAUGGGUAUUUUGUAAACUUUGUAAACGGAAUUGUAUUUUGGAGACUGUGAUGGUUGAAGCGUAGUUUAGUUACUUAGUUUAAUUUAGUUAGUAUCUGUCUUUCUGAAGACGGUAACACUUUGCAAUAAGGUUGUAUUAGUAAGUGUUAAUGUAUUUACUAACAUGAACAAAGAACAAUGAAGCAUCUUUCAUAUAAAGAAAGUACAGUUCAUGUCAGCUGAGUGCAUUAAUGUUAACAAGCAUGCAUUUUGAUUUUAAUAGCAUCGGGACAUAUUUCAAUUAUUUAAAUGAUUAAUAAAUGCUGUACAAGUAUUUGUUCUUUGUUCAUGUUAGUAAACAUUAACUAACUUUAAUUCAUGAAACCUAAUUAAAAAGUGACUAAUUGUAUGCCUUUUUCUGUAUUUGAGCAUGUAUAGUAACCUGCAUGGUUUUAAUGAACUAUGUAUGCUGUAAAUGUUGCUGUAUAUUUAGAAUAAUUGAAAUAAUGAGGUGUGUAUUAAAUAAAUUGAUACACAGGCUAAGUUGUGUAUUUGUGUCGUGUAUUUUUAAUUAGUAAAAAUUUGUUUGCUAUAUUUAUGGACUGUGUUGUAUGUAAUUCCUAUUUAACUUACGUUGAAAUGUAUGACGGUGAAACAACGUCACAGUAUCAACGUUGAUCCAAUUUGCAAAAUCGAAAGGUAAUUCAACCUUCAUUCAACGUCUACAAAACGACCAUAAUUCACCCAUGAAAAAGGUAAGAGUGAAACAACGUUGUGAUUUCAAUGGUGAAUCACCGGUGGUGGUCCGACGGUGAAACAACGUCACUAUAUAAACGUUGAUCCAAUUUGCAAAAUCGAAAGGUAAUUCAACGUUGAUCCAACCAUAGACCUGACGUUGAUUCAACGUUGAAUCACCGUUGAAAUGCCGGCUGGGCAGACUCACAAUUUGUGUCGUGUUCCCUCUUCCUAUCAUGCUUUUUGAUAUGAUUCAUAUUGCUGCACUGUUUAAUAACAAUAACCAAAAUACUAAAAUAGACUUACAUAUUAAAUGUUUAAUCUAAUAAACCAUAACAUUUUUGGUUGUUUUAUAUGAUGAGAUAUUUUCAGUUUCAAACA
ensembl:processed_transcript